rnacentral:lncRNA from 1 species
GUAAGUGGUUUAUUAUUUUUCAGUGUUUAUUGUUUGACAAACUUUUAACUGUGACAGUAAAUAUACAAUAUUAUGCAACCACGUGUUAAACAACAACAAAAAAUGUAAAUAAUUCAUGCGUGUUUAAAUCAAGAAGACUGUAAUUUACAAGCAAAAAGUACUUUAUUUCUUCAUCCGAGCGUUGUCGUAAAACUACGGUAGAUAUAGAGAAAGUCAACGUUACUGCAGUGUGAGUCACUUUGGCACACAUGUGCAGUGACAGUUGAUAAAAAGAUGCGAAUGUCCUGCGUGUACGCUGACUGCAUGUUAACCAGCCAGCCAGCAGACCGACCGCAGAUUGCAAAUCAAACACCAGUUGAUGAGUUUUUUAUGUUUGGGCACCACCGAGUUAAGGCUAUCUGUUUGAAAGCCUGCCAUCCAUUCCCAAUAUUCAGAGUAGGCUACCACUUCGGUCUUGUUAAAAAGGUAAAGUAGGCUAAACAGGAGAAUGAAUAUUUCUAUCAAAAUUGCUAUUGAUCAACAGGCCAAUCAUGGAAAACUGUAGCCAAUACAGUAGAUGCAAACUACUAGGCUAUUUUACAUAUCAACACGAUAUAAUCACAUCAGAAUAUCACUGAGUGCAUCAUCCUAUGUCAUUAUACCCGUCUAUCACUUCUUCAUCUCUUCGCCAGCAAUUUUUUUUCAUGUUGAAAUGGUAUCGUGACGCGUUCUGGGGUGAAGUCAAUUCUGCGUCAUUCCUGCGUACACGGAGACAACUUCCAAUCACCCAUCAGAAGACUUUAAAGAGACAGCACGAGGCGUGAAUAGGUUCCUCAACAGGAGUGCGAGCUCAACUCACCCUGCUCAGCUUGAGCAGAGCGAGGGAGAUGAGGGAGGGAAGUGAGAGGGAGCGCCAGCGCCUAGGGUGUCCUUUGAAAUCUCCUCGAGGAGGAAUGCCCACAUUCAGCUGUUUGUUUUCCUGCCAAUGUGCCAAAGGCCUCAACCAGCCCUCAGCCUCCCAACCCCUCCUCCCAGCUCCCAGCUCCCUGUCCCCAGCCUGUGGUCUCUGGUUGUGUCUGAAAUGGCACCCUAAUCCCUGCACCACAUAGGGAAUCGGUUGUGAUUUGGGACACAGCCUGCGUUCUCAGUCUUUAGGUCUGCAGCCAGAGGGCCAGAUGUGGCAGCAGGAUACAGUAGAUUGGUUCUGCCAAGGCCUUGCCAGCCCUGCCAGCCCUGCCCCAGGGCCUCAUAGAUAUAGAGAUAUCACCACACAUACGAGGCUUCAAGCAUUUUGGGCACAGUUAUGCCAUAUAACAUUGGGAAAAUUAGACAAUAAGGGAUAGUAUUACACUUCAUACAGUGGCAAUCUAUUUAUUUAAUCUAUUCUUUAAAUUUAGACUGAGUAUGCUUACAAUCAUAUUAUUUCCACAAUAGAUGAGAUACAACAUUAAAAAUGCUGCCACAAAUGCCAUGUUAACAUACCAAUUCAGCACAAAGAG